ACGGAAAGGAAGAGAAUCCCGAGAAGAAGGAGAGCCUUCAUGUUGACUGGGAACCCAGACCUCCGGGCUGACCAGGGAGAGCAGUCCUCGAGCCCCAGCUGAAACCCUAAAAGAGUAGAAGGACAAAGAAUUUCCUCCUCCUGUCAUUUCUAGUGAUGAGGAUGGGAGAGUAGAAGGCUGGAAAACGCUUCUCUCCACAAAGACUGCAGUUGACUUGUGGGGUAACUGACAGCAGACCAGCAGAAGGAUGAAUGGUUAAACAAGUUGUGGCAUGUCUUACCCUAUGGAACACUACUCAGUAAUAAAAAAGGAGCAAAUUAUUGAUACACACAACAUAAGCUUGAAGGAACUUCAAGGAAAUUAUGCUGAAUGAAAAGAGUCCAUCUAAAAAGGAUACAUACUGGAUGAUCUCACUUAUUGAAGGAGGAAAUCAACCACAACACUGUAAGGAUGCUCAAAAAGGUCUAUGGAGAGGUCUGUGUAGUGAAAAACUGUGAAGUCUUUUGCCAAAGCCCACUUGGAAGUAAAUCCUUCGGCCCCCAUCAAGCCUUCAGAUGACUCCAGCCUCAGCUGACAUCCUGACCACAACCUCACAAGAGAUAUUGCUCCAGAAGAACCCAGCUAAGCUGCCUUGAAGGUCCUCACCCA